UUUAUUCAAAUUUGAAAAACGUUCCGUUACAACCCAAUCGUUAAGAGACGUUUGAGUAAACGACAAGAAAGAAGACGAGAAAUAUUUUGUGUUAUUAACUUAUUUUCGAUUAGGAAAUUGUUCCGAGGAAAAAUGGAAGAAAAGUUCUCGGCCAUUCAAAGAUUAUUUUAAUGACUACCGUAUAUUUCACUAUAAAGUUAUUAACUUGCAAUACGAAAAGAAUUGAAGACCUAUAAAUACCAACUGUCGUUCGUCAAUUCUUUCUUAAUAUCCAGAACGGAGUUAGAUGAAAGACGAGAGCAGAUAUGGAAUUCUUAGAGGCAGGAGGUUAAAUCUGAGGAUUACCUGUAUAUGAAAUUCCGCUGCAAACCGGAAGUUACGCUAUUUUGAUUCAAAAGUUCCCCCGAAACCAGUUAUAGAUGAUCGGCACGACUCUAUUGUUAAAAGAAAGGAAUGAUGUACGGGAGCACUGCUAAUUGCAGUUGAGCAUAUAUUUUAAAUGUAGUAAAUUAUCAAUACGAUAAAAAUCUGCAGCCCGGCAUUGUGACCGUGUCAUAAUAAAUCAACCCUCAUUAUUAAUCAUUUUAAAUAAUUAUAGUUUAAAAGUGUUCAUCCAUUUUCAAUAAUAUUCGAAUGAAAUAUUUUUCGAAUUUCAAUUGUAAAUUUCAAAAAAAACACAGAAAUGAAAACAAUUGGAAUUUAAAUAUUAGAUGGUAACACUUAUUUUUUUCCACAAAAUUGACAGGUCAUAUAAAGAAAAAAGUAGCAAAUGCCCAUUCAGAUAGACAAGUGGUAAACUGUAUUUUAAUUAAUUAUUGAAUGGAUUCUAACUUCUUUCCUGAUGAAACAAAUCUUUUUGAAGGAAUCGUGAAAGAUUUGAUUCAUUUACGUGCCGUCAUUGGUUCUGCCAGAACUGAAAAGAGAAGAAAAAACAACAAUAAAUAGCUUUAACACGCAACACUUCCCUCGUUACUACUGACGUCUUUUCGUUGUCUUUCGUGUAGAGAAAAGUCGAGGAUAGUUUUACACUCUGUUCAUACCUCAAUUCUUCGCGUAUGCGAAGACAGAGUGACGAUUCUGUUGUAUAUUCUUCUGUACGACAAAGUGAACGGAAGCUUAUGGAAUUCUCAUGCAGAAAUGGAUUUGUCUUUGAUCAUUUCUUUGAUAGUCGUCACUUUAUUUCAACAUUCAAGAAAUUAAAGUAAUGAUAUAUAGUGCUGAUCUGAAGAAAACCUCGUUCACGAUUACGUUAGAAAGAAAAAAAGAAGAUUUCCUAAGUCGCUGAAGACGAUUUCUCAGGUAACAUUUCUUUAUCGAAUGGCCCUACAGUUUGGUUUGUCGAAUGUGCUAACAAGUAUUGAAAGUGCUUUACGUUUUUCUGUUGAAUGAAGUUUCUUGACUUAUUGUAAACAAACAUUUUGAACUCAGCUUUAAUAUUGUGGCGUGACGUGUCCAAGAAAGAAUUUCUAAAAUUAUUUAAUUUGAAAUAUUUCAUUUGUUUUAUAAAAUAAUGAACGACGUCAUUCUCGUAUUUCAUUUCAUUCAGAAUUUUAUUUUCAGAUUCACUAUUAAGCGAUAAAGAGAAGAGAAACAAAUGAAGAAUUGUUUCCAGGAAAAAGGAUGAAUCGAGGAAUGCGUUUAACUUCUGUUUACAGAAGACUAAAUUGGAGGAAGUGAUAAGAAAUUAUACGAGAAUAUGAAAAGAGAAAGAAUAUAUGCCAAGCAUAUGAAGAGAAAAUGAAAUGAAGAUAUUUUAAAUCAUUUCCAAAUAUGUUAUUUGUUAAAAUACUCUUCAUAAUAAAUUGUUUUGAGAUAAAUGUAUAAAUUACAUUAAUUUGUGAUAGUAUGUGUAUACUGCUUGGAAAUAUUUGCAAAUACUAGUGUAAGCAAUUUGCUUAUGAUUUAUUGUUUCAUGUGGGGUAGUCUAGUUACUUGUGAGGUAUCAAUUUUCGUUUAAAGAAUCUUCCUAGAAAGAAAAUUCUUUUUUUCUAUCUGCACACACAAGUUUAACAGUCUUCUAAAAGCAGCGCGCUUAAAUUUAGAAUUUUACAUAUUCGAUUAGCAAUAAAUUGAAGGGAGAUUUGUUUUAAU